GCGCCCGUAGCUCAGUGGAUAGAGCAUCCGCCUUCUAAGCGGACGGCCGUUGGUUCGAAUCCAACCGGGCGCG
rnacentral:tRNA from 2 species